AUGUUAACUAAUAUUGGCGAAGUUACAUGCUGUCCUGAGAUGUUGACAAAUAAAUGCAUUCUGACAGACGCCGACAAUGGACACAGCUGGUCAGUUGUGAGGUGAAUGUUCGCUACGUCAGUACUUAUUCAGUAAAUGUGUUUCCAUCUCCCCUUCGACACAUUAACUCUUUAUUGGAAAUAUCAAAAAAACAAUUAGAAAUUGCACAAUUGAACAAAAAUCUUGUCAUUUUCAAAGAUACUUCAAAAUCUGCAUAGAAAAACAUAAAUGGAAGCAUGGUUAUGGUUAUUGCCAUAAAAACUAGCCAAGUCACUCCUACCCCCGCCACCUCUGGUGUAUGCUUCAUAUGUGUACCUGGUACCAGAUCCCAUUGAGCCAAAAGUCACCAAUCAGUUUUGUAAUUACUAUGUCAGACCUGCUGUGUUAUGUCAAAGACACACAGGUAAACAGAGAGGCAAACCUGUCAUCUGUUCACCUUACGGAAAUACCAAAAACCAUCUCAAAAUUGAAAAAUAGAAAAAGUUAUUUUGAAUUUUGUCAUUUCCAUCGAUACUUCAAGGUAAGGAAUUGGAUCCACUGCCAAGGGAGGCUUCAGGACAUGGAUAAUAAUAAGAUAAUCAUUUCUGUCUUGUUAUGUCUGAUGGGAGGCUGAUCAAGACAUAUUCCAUGGAUCUAAAUGUAAAUUAAGGGAAUUUCGUGGGAACAUUUAGAGAGAACAUCAUAGUGCUGAACAUGAACAAUCCUCAACUUCAGUGAUUCUUUGAACCAAAUAUCUGCUGAUGGUUUUGUGGGUUUGGAGCCAACUGAGGCUAAAUGGACAUCUGCUGAGAUGACAGCUCUGUGUGAGACAGGCAGCCGCCUGGUCGCCCUGGGAACCAACCUCUCAAAGCUUCCUGUCCGUUUUAAACCUGUUCUUCCACGCAGUUGGCUAUCGGGCACAAAUAGUCCUUCUGCUCCUGUUUGUCAAACAUUUUAUACCUCUUGCUGAAAUAUUUCAGAAGCUCAGAUUCUUCAUAGAUUCCAUCCUCCACCCUCCCAGACAUCCCAUCUGGGAGGUUCAUCCCUUACCUCUUCCUUUUCAUUCCUCAUCUUAUUCCCACACUUCCUCCUUCUUCCAUUCCGCCUCUAUCCAUCCUCAUUUUCUCCCUCCCCCCCGACCUAAAAGAGAGGAUAUAGAGAGGCGAGACCUCUUGUCGGUGGUGGGAAAAAAGGGAGAGACCAUCAAGGCGCAGACAGAGGGAUGAAGCGAAAGUAUAGGUUAGUAGGUAGCAGUAUAGGCCUGUUCCAUCCUCCCUCCCCCUCUUCUCAUGCUCUGCAUCCCCUCUGCCCCCCAUUCACUGUGCCAGGGUGGUAUGAACUGCUGGAUUACAAAACAGCCCUCCCAUGUGUCUGCCUGUUCUCUGUGCCAGCCGAGAGACAAGCGAUACCAUGCUCCCGGAGCGCUGCUGAGGCUGAGGGGUGGGAGGGAGGGAGGGAAGAAAGAUGGAGAAAGUGAAGCAAAGAGUGAGAGAAGCAGAACCAAGAAAGUGGGAGUUCAGAGAAAUCAGAUGAGCAGGGAUGGAGGGACAGGAAGACAUGGGAUGGGUAGACAAAAGAUGUAGAGAAAUGAGGAGAGAGAGAGAGAGAGAGAGAGAGAGAGAGAGAGAUAGGGGAGGGAAAGAAGAAGGGAGAUUUGAGCGAUGGCAGAUGAAAGCUUUGGGAGGAGCGGAGCACUGAGCAGCAUCAACCAGCGCUGUGAGAGCAUGUUGAGCCUGCAGGGACAGCCGGGGGGUCAGCUGUCAGCCAUAAGGUUACCGACUGAAGUCAGCUGAGAGAGCGGAGAAACGGCGGCGCGUUGGAAGAAGCUUAAAAGACGGACGCCUUCAACAGAGAUGUGAAGAGAGUGUGUAACUUUCUAACGACAUAAAGAGGAGGAGGUUAAAUCGAGGUGUGGUGUGUGUGUGACCUGUUUCACAUCAGAUCAUCAGCCUGCAAAAGGUAAAAGCAGAACUCCUGUGUGCAAACUGCCCCCAGUGGAGAGACUGUGAAUGACAUGGAAACUGGUCCCAGUAUUUGUUGAGGCUCCAACCUGGGUAUUGCUGCAGCUAUGUGUGUGAAGGUAAUCCUGGACAAAACUGUACUGCAGAGGGACGAUGGGUUCAAAUGUUACAGAAUCUUUGCUGGUUCAGCAGGUGUCGUGUGUGUGUGUGUGCGUGUGUGUGUGUGUUAUGUUUCUGUCCGUGGAGAGAAGUUCUCGUCACACUGCCUCUGCAUCGUCUCACAGCGCCGUGGUGAAGGCCUGG